UGCUCUUACCUUGCAGUGACACGCACUUUGCUCUUGUCAAACUUGGCAACUCACAGGCAAACGGUCCAGUGAGCCCUAGCUACUCGAGUCUGACCCCAGCUCUUAUUAUAGCUUUUUUUUAUUGGAUUACGUUUCUAAAAGUUGCAGAAUGGAUUCACUUGGAGACUGUCCACUGCUCACCUACUACAGUUACAGCUCACUAUUAUACAAUGAAGAUCCUCUAAUGACAGACCUGUAAUUAAAGAAACUCAAUCAAAGUGAUCUGGAAGUCAGUGAGCAAAAUCUUCCUGAAAAGCUGCCUUCUUCCAGAAGUUUGUGCGAGCUGUAAUAUGUCCCUAGCUGCAGGCCUUUGACCCACAUGAGGACAUACUCCUGACUGUAACAGAGUAGAGAGCAGAGCGGAGAGAGAUGUUGAAGAAGAAGAAGAAGAAGAAGAAGAAGAAAAAAACAGAUUCUCAGUUCCAGGUUAAACUGCUUCUUUUUGACAGUUUCCAUAACAACUAUUAAAGCUGUUUCUACAUCCAUAACUACAGCAGUAUUUUAGCUCAUUAACUGAGGUGUGCUCAGAGUCCAUACAGGAAAUAGGCAGGAGGAAAAGCAGGAGUUGUUUAACUUUAUACUUUAUAUUUAUUUAAUAGGCAUUUUUUUUGUCUUGUUAACUACUAGAGAGAGAAAACAAUAAGAUGGUGAGGGAACAACAGUUAAUAACUGCUAUAAUGAAUGUGAUAACAGGUACGUUACUCAUAAGUUCCUGUUUACACAAUUGCACUAUUUUGACUAUAUAGUGUUUGUCACGUCAAUGCUGGAUGUGGCAUUGCUUCCCAGAUCGUGUAACAAAGAGCAGCCUACCAACACUGAAUACAACACCCAGAGUACUAGGCAGCCUACAAAGAUGGCCGAUGCGGACUACCAACCAUCCAUCAAGAACUCUCUCACGUUUAUGUUCACGUUCACAGUCAUUCUGAUUGGACCUGAGCUCAAUCUCACACACACAGCUCCUGUUGAAGUUAUGCCAUUGUGAUUACCACGUUGUAUGUGGUUACCAAGGGCCCUUUGGUGUCUCCAAAAGGUGAUUUUUGGUAAAACGCAUGGAUAUGCAAUUUGAAAAACGUGAAAAAUAUAAAUUUUAUUGGUAUUCUUAUCAAAUUUGGACUAGGGAAGGCUGCUUGCUGUAGUUCAGUUGUGUUUUCCAGCUAAUAGCUCCAAGCUGUAGUCAUCUGCAGGCAUGCAAAAAAAAAAAUCAGGCAGAAAAAAAACCUGUCUAUAUCAGUUUGUUCAAACUUCUAUUACUCAAUACUGUCUGGGUUAUGUAUGUAACCCUGUUCCCUGAGAAGGGAAUGAGAUGUUGUGUUUAGCAUAACAGUAUGGGAGCGCCCUUGCGCACAUGACCGGUAUCUGAAGCUUGUGUAAAAUCAUGCCUCUAUUUAUAGGCCUGCCAUGAUUAGGUGACAUGGCAAUUAAGCAUGUUGCGUGUUAUAAAUAUGGCACCUGUGAACUGCGCCGUCAGUCUCUAUUAUCUGAAGCGAAGACGCAAUUCUCAGGCCUGCCCUGGUAUGACAAAGCUACGCAACGUCUCUUUCCCUUCUCAGGGAACAUGGUUACAUGCGUUAACCAGACGUUCACUCUCAAAGGGAACUUGACGUUGCGUUUAGCAUAACAGUAUGGGAACGAGAAUGCACACUCCAUCAUACCAAGGGUACGGCCUGUUCAAAAAGACAUAAGCCCAAGGGUCACUGCCAAACACUCGAGCCCAGGGCAGAAUGAAUAUCAAGGCUGUAAUAAUGAAUGAAUGUGUGUGGUGUAGACCACCUUGCAGCAGCACACACCUCCUGUAAGGAUACCCAUUUGGACAAAGCCUUCGAGGAGGUGACCGCCCUAGUGGAAUGAGCCCUUAUGCCCAGAGAUGUGGCUAGACCGGGCACCUCAUAAGCAAUAGAGACUGCGUCCACUAUCCAAUUAGAGAUGCACUGCUUUCACACAGCAUCACCUCUACUCUCUAAAUCAGACCAGCAGCUGCUCCGACUUACGCCACUGGCCGGAGUGUAAAAACAGAGAGCCCUUACUGGACACAGCAGGUAUAUUUUCUCUUGUUCCGGUGUGAGGAACAGAGGAGGGCAGAAAGCCUGCAACAUCACAGGGUGGGCAGCCGAUAUAUGCACUUUAGGAAUAUAAUCCAGCCUAGGAUACAAGAAGGCCUUGGCUAAUCCAGGGCAAAGUCAAGGCAGGAAGGGGCAACAGAGAGAGAUUGUAGAUCUCCUAUUCGCUUCAUGUCUGAGACCCUGCUGAGAUGUCUGAGAUGUCAGGGCCAGCAGAAGAGCUUCUUUUAGAGUCAGAAGCUUAUCCGAGGCUGACUAAGGGUGCAAAUGGGGCCCCUGACAGACCUUCCAGGACCACACAAAGGUUCCAGGAAGGUAUGCGUGGCCUGCAGAUGGGCCUCAACCGCCUGACACCACGCAUGAACCUCGAAGUUAGAGGAUGUUGCCCCACAGAGGCUCCUUCAACAGGGGCACGGCUAGCCGAAAUGGCGGCCACAUAAACCCUGAUUGUAGAAGGAGCCAACUCCGCUGAGAAACGUCCUUGUAAGAAUUACAGGACUGUAGCUAUUGCGUAGUUCACAGGGUCUAGCUGACGUUCCUCAUACCACAAGACAAAAAGCUGACACUCAAGUGCAUCCAAUUUCCUUGUGGAUGGUGCUCUAGCAUUUAACAUGGUCUCUACAACCUCAGUUGUGGGACCAGAAUUUAUGAGCUGGUGCCCCUCAAGGGCAAGACCCACAGUUUCCAUAGUUCUGGCCAAAGGUGAUAAAUUAGCCCUCCGGUUUGAGACAGUAGAUCCCUGCAGAUGGGAAUCUCCCAAGGAGUGCCAUUAAACAGGGAUAUUAUCUCCGAGAACCAUAUUCAAGCUGGCCAAUAAGGUGCUACUAGCAGGAGAUGUAGAUGGUCUUGGCAAACUCUCGCUAGAACUUGUGGGAGCAGAGCAAUCGAGGGAAAAACAUAUAGACGUGACCUCGGCCACAUGUGCACCAUGGCGUCCAGCCCCAAUGGUGCGGGAGGAGUGAGGGCGAACCACAGCGGGCAGUGUGUUGUCUCCUCUGAACGAACACAUCCACUUCCACUUGUUCAAACCUCUACCAUAUGGACUCCACCACUUGUGGAUGGAGCCUCCAACUCCCGGGGCUUCAGCCCCUGCCUCGACAAGAUGUCUGCCCCUACAUUCCGGCUGCCCGGAAUGUACAUUGCACUCACUGACAAGAACUUUGCCUGUGCCCAGAGAAGGAUUAGUUUUGCCUGCCUGAACAGGAUGAAACCCCAGACUUUUCAGCCACCACUGAAACGGUCUCAUGGCAAAGAGACCCAACGGUAUGACAUUGGCUGCUGCUGCCAUAAGGCCCAAUAGUCUCUCGUAGAGACUGGAGGGGAUGCCGAUCUGGCUCAAUGUUGAUAGGAUCAAUCCUAUGCAUGUUGGGGAUGGCAAUGCCCUCAUUGUAGUAUAAUCCCAUAUUACCCCUACAAAAGUUGUCCUCUGCACUGGAAAAGCAUGCUUUUCUUGAGGUUCAACCUGAGCCCCAAGCUCCUCAUGUGGGCGAGAACAACAUGUCAAUGUUGAAGUGCCAGUUCCCUGCUAUUCUUGCUAGAAUUAACCACUCGUCCAGGUAGUUUAGUACAUGAAUGCCCUGGAGUCGGAUGGGAACCAGAGCAGCAUCCAUGCACUUUGUGAAGGUGCAAGGGGAUAAAGCUAGCCCGAAGGGAAGAACCCGAUAUUGGUAUGCGUUGUUUCCAAAUGCAAACCUCAGGUACUUCCUGUGACUCGGCGAUAUUCCUAUGUGGAAAUAUGCAUCUUUCAGAUCUAUCGUCAAAAACCAGUCCUCGAACUGAAUCUGUGGCACAAUAAGUUUGUGCAUCAGCAUCUUGAACCUGUAUGUCCAAAGAGUACAGUUCAGAUGACACAGAUCUAAAAUUGGCCACAUACUCCCUUCUUUUUUGUGGACUAAGAAAUAAUGGCUGUAAAAACCUCCCUCCCUUAGGGAACGGGGUACAUGUUCUAUGGCCCCUUUGUCCAAAAGGGAUCUUACUUCCUUGGCUAACUUUGGGCUCUGCUCUGUGCUGACUACUGUGGUGAGCACAACUCUGAACCAGGGGGUCGAGCUCUGAAGUGGACCGAGUAACCCUUUUCUAUGGUAGACAGAACCCAUGGAGACGCAUUUGGCAGUAGUUUCCACUCUGCCAGAUGGUCUUUUAGUGAUGUUAGCUUUUCCACAUUCUGUUGGAGGGAAAGCAUCAGAUUUCUGUUGCCCUGUGACAGCUCGCUGACCAGAGAUGGCUGAAAACAUGGGAUGGCCUUGGCUAGGGCAGGCCCUACAGUUGCACUGGGGGCUAUCUGCCCUAACAACCUCAUGUCUCCUGAUACGUCACGCCAUGGCCCAUCAGGACCGUUCCUUCUUUGCCUGCUUUGCUUUUAUGAUCAUUCUUAGAUCAGACUGUUAGCAGGCUGCGGCUGUGGCCACCUGGUCCCCCUGGCUCUCCAUGGGGGAGGCGAGCCACCACACUCGCCUUCUGUGCCUCCAUUGCACUAGCACUGGAACUCGACACAACGGGGAAGGAACUUGCUGUUUGGCCUUACAUUAACCACUCUGCCAAACAGGCCGGAAGGUUUAACAGGGGCAUCCAGCUAGGAGUCGUUACCUUUGUCCCCAAUCCUUAAGAGAUUCAGGUGCCUCUCCACCACAACCAAGCUACCCAUUGAACAGCCAAUAUGAUGGGCCGUUUGUUUGGUCGACCAGAGAGAUAAAUCUGUGGCACGGUGCAGCUCUGCCACUUCCUCGAGCCCAAUUCCCUCCCAGUAUCAAGCUCACUCAGCAGAUCUGCUUGGUAGGCCUACAACACUGUCAUUGUAUGCAGUGACCCACAAGCAAGACUCGAUGCUGCAUAGGCAUUGAGUCACCAAGGUGGCCUUGCAUGGCUUGGAAGGUAAAGAUGGCCCCCCUAAAUUACCUGCUGUUGAUGGAGAGAGGUGGCUCGCAAGCACGUCCUCCACCUUCGGCAUCGCUAGAUAGCCAUGCUGCUCACUCCCCAUGACAGCUGAGUAAUCAGACAUCAUAGGGUUAUAAUCAAGGCUAGUGUAUGGUUUUCCCCAGAAGCGUGAUAUCUCAUCAUGCACUUCUGGAAAAAAGGUUUUCUUCUGUAUGAAGGAGAUUUAUAUUUAUUUUCACUGGAGAGGAAGCGCUCAUCCAGUCUGCUACGAGCCAAUUCCUCUUCCCUGGCCCAGUCUAUAUUCAACUUUUCAAUUGCCCUAAUAAUCACCUCAAGCAGCUCUUUAUAUGCUUGAGAGCUGCCCUCAGUUAUUGGUGCAGUGGUGCCCUCUACCAACUCCUCUGAGUCAGCGAGGGUGUUUUGGCUUUCCAUUGGGGAAGGAGGAGUCGCGAUGCGAGUCAGGCGGAGACCCGGAAGACAGAGCAAGAGAUAGAGCAGCGCUCAUCUCUGGCUCCUCUUCCAAAUCCACACGAGAUCCCCAGAACCUGAGCCGGCUGCCUGCCUCGGUAGAAGCCAGCCCAGAUCCGCGAGCCUCUGAAACCCAACUCCCUUCGGACAAGUAGAGAGCGAGUUGCGCGCGGAGCUGCCUAAUCGUGAAACGUUCACAAUGCUGACAGUCAGCCCCUUCAAGGGCUGCCGUCGCAUGCUCCACAUCUAAACACUUCACACAGAAAGCGUGUCCAUCUCCUCCCGUGAUGAAGCAGGAGCAAGCCGUAACACACUUUCUGAAUUCUCUCUCGCUCAUUCUUUCUUUCUCUUUUCAUUUCUUUUAGAAAGGGGUAGAAAUGUUUAGAGAUGUGAGAAAAUAUAGGGGAGAAAUGAAGCAUUUUUUGUCGCAAAAACAACCGACAUGCAGUCUCGCAGAAGUUAAUAAGGCUGACGGUGCGGUUCACAGGUGACAUAUUUACAUUUCACAUCACAUGAUGCGCUUAAUUGCCACGUCACCUGAUCAUGGCAGGCCUAUAAAUUGAGGCAUGAUUUUACACAAGCUUCAGAUAUCGGUCACGAGCACAAGGGCACUCCCAUACUGUUAUGCUAAACGCAACGUUGAGUUCCCUUUGAAAGAGAACAAAUGGUUUAUGAACAACUUUAAUUUUACUUUGGGUAUGUCUUGGAUAGGCAUUUGAGGCUUUAUUUACAGGAACUUUAUGAGGACAUAAGGACCCUAAUUCCAUUAGUUUAUUGAGAAGUUACAUCCGCUGUCACGUACAUGUGUAUACCAAGUCUUCUGAUUCUAUCCUGUGAUGUUAUGACUGUAUUUAUAGUUUACGGUUUAUGUCUUUGUCUCUUGCCCAAGUUACUUUGUUUGCACAUUGCCUUACUUCUGCCUGUUUGAUACUUUUGAUUCUGCUUCUAGAUUUGGAUUUGUUUGCUGUAGUUUUAAUAAAGCAACUUACCUUCAACUGUCACCAUUAGCGCUGCCUGACAGAAUACUUCACCUACACAUGGAGACAGCAGGUUUUCAAUAGUGGCAACAGGCUCUGUGUCAGUGAGCAACACCACAAGAUUGCUAUGAUCAACACACAGCCAGAGGAGCUUACCAGUUAAAUUCAAUUCAAUUUUAUUUGUAUAGCACUUUUUACAAUGGACAGUGUCUCAAAGCAGUUUUACAGAAAUAUAUAAACACGGGAUACAGAUUUUAGAUGUGUGAAUUUAUGGGCAGAUCUGGAGAGCAGAAAGGAUCAGGAUCUCUUGUAUCUCUAUAAAAUCGUGUGGCUCGACAGAAGGAGAGAAGGAAAGAAAAGAUUGUUAGGACUGUGCUUUGCAUAACAGAAGUCUACUCAUGAUAGGCUUGAGCAAACAAAUAGGUUUUAAGCCUAGACUUAACCACUGAGACUGUGUCUGAGUCCCGAACACUAAUUGGAAGACUGUUCCAUAACAGUGGGGCUCUAUAAGAGAAAGCUCUUCUCCCUGCUGUAGCCUUUGCUAUUCGAGGUACCAUCAAAUAGCCUGCCCCUUUUGAUCUAAGUUGGCAUGGCGGAUCAUAGAAAACCAAAAGUUUGUUUAGAUACUGUGGCGCGAGACCGUUUAGUGCUUUCUAAGUCAAUAAUAGUAUUUUAUAAUUAAUGCAUGAUUUCACUGGGAGCCAAUGCAGUGUUGAUAAGAUCAGGGUGAUGUGGUCAUAUCUUCUGGUUCUAGUUAGGACUCUAGCAGCUGCAUUCUGAACUAACUGGAGUUUGUUUAUGCUACUACUGGAACAUCCAGACAGUAUGGCAUUACGAUAAUCUAGUCUAGAGGUGACGAAAGCAUAAACUAGAAACCAGCUCACUGACACCCACGGUAGUUUUUUACCAUUCUCUAGAGGGUAAAGAAGUGGGUGAUCAACUCCUCACGCUCAAUGCCACCAGAGCUUCAUGGAAUGAUGCUGGCAGCAGCUGGAGGAACCAGUGCUCAACGCAGCAUACUGGCAGGGAUUAAAUCAGAAUAUUCUCACUGAACCUGCAUGCCAUGAUGGCCAAACCUCAUUAGACUCCCUCAUCUACUUCUUCAUCCUUCUUAACCAACUGUUGAAGAGCCGGAAGGGAAAACCCAAAAUUAAUCCCAUCACCAACGUCCAAGCAUCUGAGCAUAUGCAGCUACGACAAGCCAAGUUGACAGAUAUGGAAAACCAAAGGCAUCACAAACACGAACUGUGCUUUUACUGUGGCAGAAUCCAACAUCAAAUAAGAAUGUGCCCAGUCUGCCCUAAGGCCCUCAAAGGCACCUCUAAGCGAGUCUAUCAGCCUUCUUUCUCCAACAUGGUAAGUAUUCCAAAUGUGGUGGAAGGCAAUGUACAACCGCCUUGUAGGGGAAUUAUUCAACACUUAACUAAGGAAGACUGAGUUAGCAACAUGAGCCUAGUCCCCCCCACCCAAUGCUUUUAGUCUCUGUACAAUUUGUGGUUGUAUGUUGGUACCUAUCGUGUUGCUACAUAGUGAUGAGGUGAGGUGGGCUUCAGGAUUUGUUCUGUAGCACGGCAGCCCCCUGAAGUGUGUGUAUAGAUAACAACGUAAGUACAGUUAACUACAAGCACCCACCCUCCCCAGAUCUAACAGGAUAGAUAUAGCAUUGAUAUUUUCAGAUUAACUAACAAAGGCGUUUAUUCACUCAGGGCGAGUUAUAACUAGUUUUCCGUUACUUUUCUUCACAAGAGUGAAUUUGUGACACAGUAAAAUUGAAGAAACAAAAAUAAUUAAAAUAAAGUCUGACUAUUUCAAUUUAACUGUAAACAAACAAAACAACAAUUGGUCAGGGUUCCUCUUUGACCGCGCUGAAGUAAUUCACGAGAGUCAGUUCAGCUCAAAAUAGAAACAAAAAGUCACUUCCAAAUCCAACAGGAUGCUAUUCAGUCCAAUCACGUGUCAGAAUGUUCAUAAACACAUAGGAAAAGUAUAUGAAUACUUUUUAGAAAAAGUCGCUGGUCAUGGAUCCAUGAAUAAAGUUUUUCAACUCAACCGUUUGGUUUUUAUCCCUUAGAAAGAAAACACGAUGACUUGCUUACCAAUGUUCAGUUGAAAAUGGGAAGCAUAAUGUACAUCACCACUCUUAUAUCUUGGAUGAGGCACUGAAUGAAGUCCAGCAGAUGGUAUGGUAAUGUCUCUUCACUCAAUGACCUUUAGUGAUUGUGCUCACGCUCAAGGCUGUAGCUUGAUCCAGCGAGGCAGCAAUCCCGGCUUACGGAGAUCCAAUUGAGAAGACGGACAACACACGACCCUAUCCGAUAAGUCAGCCAAGUCUUCUCACACAUUAAGCAAUGGCAUCCCUUACGCUUUAAGCUCGUUUGAACAAGCAUAACAAAACUGUAUGUGAAACAUAAAAAAACACAGGAGUAUUUGACUCCACCUGCAAAUAACUCAAUAAGCACUAACAGACCUAUUUCCCCAGUGCACACACAAACACGAAGG